rnacentral:rRNA from 1 species
AUGUAUUCCUCGGAGGAACCGGACGACGUUACAACUUUUCCACAGGCCUGGACUGCAGGCGUUCCUUUCCUCGUCGCUCUUUCGUGCUGUCCCGCCGCCUGCUCCGCAUUCCCAGGGGCCGCCUGCUCCUCACCACAUCUACACCCAGGCGGCGGCAAGGGCGGGGCUUCCAUGAGCAGGACGGCGGCGGCCUCGUGGCGGCGUCGCCCGUCGGCGAAGGGAGCCGUGGAGCCGGAGGCCGCUGGAAUUCCUCGGACGCUGCAGCUCGGCGCCAUGAUCCUCGUCUUGUGCGUCCUGAACAUCUACUUCAAUAUUUACAACAAGCCGGUUCAGAGAGUAUUUCCCUUCCCAUACACCAUCACCACCUUCCACUUCGCAUUCAGCUCCUUCUUCAUCACUCUCAUCUGGCUGCUAAACCUGCAUCCCAAACCAAGGCUCUCCCUUCAACAGUACGCAAAGAUCCUUCCUUUGGCGCUAAUACACGUGAUGGCCAUUGUCUUCGCCAACAUGAGUUUGGGCAAGGUGGCGGUCUCCUUCACGCACACCAUCAAGGCAGGGAACGCCGUUCCACUCUCCGUCUUGUUGCUCAGGCAGACACCUUCUCUACUUGUAUUAGGUUCUCUCGGGUCGGUUGUUGGUGGAGUUGUACUGGCAUCUAUGACUGAAAUUUCUUUCAACUGGAUAGGAUUUUGCAGUGCCAGGGAUUCCAAUGACCAAUCGCGAAAUGCUUUCAGCAAGAAAAUUCUUGCUGAUAAAGAGGAAAAAUUGGACUAUAUAAAUCUCUUUUCAAUUAUGACUAUCAUGUCAUUUUUGUGUUCGGUCCCGUUAACGCUAUAUCUAGAGGGCAUAAAGUUUAGCCCGCUGUUCCUACGGAGCACUGGGUUAAAUCUUCAAGAACUAUGCCUGAAAGCGGGCAUUGCGGCCACUUGUUUCCAUUUUUACCAACAGGUUUCAUAUAGUUUAUUGGCCAGAAUAUUACCUGUAACCCGUUCUCUUGCAGACUUCUUCAAACGAGUUGUCAUCAUAUCAUAUGUUCUCUUCUUCAGAACUCCAAUUUCACCUAUAAAUGUCCUUGGAACUGGUCUGCCUCUACUCGGUGUUUUCAUGUACUCUAGAUUCAAGAAAGCAAAAUCAAAGACAAAUGCUGCAUAA